rnacentral:lncRNA from 1 species
UCUUCACCCUCCCCUGUCUACCCUCCAAGAGUUACAAACUGUUUGAGCCAGGACAAAGGGCACCCUAAGAAGCAGAGGAAAAGCAGUUUUAUUAUUUUGAGGGAAGUUAUCAAAAUCAAUUUUCAUAAAAGUCCUGGUUUAUAUAUUACAAUGAUAGUGCAUAUUUUUUAUUUCAUUGGGCUUUAAGUGCAGCAGAAAUAGGGGGGCGCUAAGGAUCCCACAAGUGUGUUUUACAAACUUUGAAACUGGGUUAAGGGGUUGCUUUCUUUUCUGCCCUUUGCUGCAAAGGGUGGGGCAGAAACAAGUUUGUUAUCCAGCCUUUGGAUAAAUGAGUGUUUGCAAUGAUUUAACAUGACUCGAAAGCAAUUUGUUUCUAAAUCCUCUUAUUAUUGCUGCGUGCCUAGAGCUUUGAGGGAAGUUUUUUUUCUUUUUUCUUUUUUUUAGAAUUGGAAAAAAAAAUUAAUUCAUCAAUAACCAGGCUCCACCAGGAUUGAACUAGAUGCUUGUUCCUGGCACUUGUCAUUCCCAGCAAUCACAGCCCCUAGAGCAAAUACAAAAGGCCCAAAUUGCGUUGCAUCUUUUAUGGAAGUGCCCAACGUGGAAAUUAUAGAUUUUAACGAAGGAACAAGAAAACUGAUGAAACAAGUUCAAAAGAAAGGAGAAAAAUGGAUAAGAACUUAAAAGUAUCUUCAAAUUUCUAAAGACAUAAUCAAACAAAGAUGAUUGUGGCAGCAUAUUUACUACUGUCUACUCCCCAAGGCAAAAACAAACAACAACAACAAAAACCAGAAGUUUCUGAAGGACAGCAGAAAUGGGAAGUUCUUUCCAUGAUGCAAGGCAAUCAAUGGAAAGUGACCUUCUUUUGUGAGCUACACCUAGGUAGCCCCAGUCAUGUGAAAUCACUGAUGGUAGCAACGGAUAAAGAUGCUGGAAGGGGAAACUGA